GCUGCCUCUGCCUCCAAACCCUGCGGAGCCCUCCCUGCCCCGUGCUUUGAAGCAGUUUCUUUGGAAGCUGCUGCACAGGGGUUAACAACAAGCAACAACUCAGGUCGCAUUCUUGUCAACGGAAGGGAGGGCCAGGUGGAACCGCCAAGGGGGCCAUUUCUGGCUUUGCUGGAGGCUGUCAGCUUCUGGUGGGAGCCACAGCCUGAGGGCAGCCAGGAUGGCUCUGCUGGGAGGGACACCCUGCCCAACCCUGGGAGCAGGUGACGAAGGCUCCUGGAGGCAUGGUCACAUCCCUGGGUCCCAGAGGCAGGAACAAAGCCCCCAGGGCAGUGUUCAUCAAGAAAGGGCCUCCGGGUUUGUGUUUACUGGACAUGAAUUGAGCUGCUCUCCAGAGAUAAGAAAAAAAUAUUACAGCCCUGCUAUGUGGGCACCCCACGGCAGCCCCCGGGGUUAAGGGGCAGCUUUCUUUCCAAGGAAUCCCAUUGCCAAAGAUGAACCUUCAGAUGGGGAAACUGAGGACCCAGAGGAAGCAAGAGCAGCCCCAGGCCACACAACCCUCUUUUUAUUAUUCAUUCACUGACUACACUGCAGAGGUUGGACCCAUAUCUCAUUAUUUGAAUAGUAAAUUGUUUUUUCUUCCUGACCCUUGGUCUGUUGGGUCUCUCAUUGCGCCAUGCAUCCAA
rnacentral:lncRNA from 1 species